GACGAACGCUGGCGGCGUGCUUAACACAUGCAAGUCGAACGGAAAGGCCCUGCUUGCAGGGUACUCGAGUGGGGAACGGGUGAGUAACACGUGGGUGAUCUGCCCUGCACUUCGGGAUAAGCCUGGGAAACUGGGUCUAAUACCGGAUAGGAGCCAUUUUUAGUGUGAUGGUUGGAAAGUUUUUUCGGUGUAGGAUGAGCUCGCGGCCUAUCAGCUUGUUGGUGGGGUAAUGGCCUACCAAGGCGGCGACGGGUAGCCGGCCUGAGAGGGUGGACGGCCAAAAUGGGACUGAGAUACGGCCCAGACUCCUACGGGAGGCAGCAGGGGGGAAUAUUGCACAAUGGGCGCAAGCCUGAUGCAGCGAAGCCGCGUGGGGGAUGACGGCCUUCGGGUUGUAAACUCGUUUCGCUAGGGACGAAGCUUUUUGUGACGGUACCUAGAUAAGAAGCACCGGCUAACUACGUG
rnacentral:rRNA from 1 species